rnacentral:rRNA from 1 species
UACGGGGGGGGCAAGCGUUGUUCGGAAUUACUGGGCGUAAAGCGUGCGCAGGCGGUUGUGCAAGACAGAUGUGAAAUCCCCGGGCUUAACCUGGGAAUUGCGUUGGAGACUGCAAGGCUGGAAUCUGGCAGAGGGGGGUAGAAUUCCACGUGUAGCAGUGAAAUGCGUAGAGAUGUGGAGGAACACCGAUGGCGAAGGCAGCCCCCUGGGUCAAGAUUGACGCUCAUGCACGAAAGCGUGGGGAGCAAACAGG